rnacentral:lncRNA from 1 species
CUCUCAUUCCAUCCUCUAGAGAACCUUGGAUAACUGAUUGAUCAUGGAUAUCAAGAACAUUGAUGGCACCAAUUAUAAACAAGACUUUAUGAGAACUCGUAUGUCAUUUCAAGAAAAAGGACAGGAUUAUGCAGUCAAUACGAUUCAUUGUUUGCUAACCGUUGGCUGCCACCAUUGAAUCUCCAUUUUUACUUCCUUAAACGGGCCCUCUUGAUUUGAGGGUAAUCCUUCGCUACUUAUCGUGGACUUCAUCCAUUGCUGAACACCGACGAGAGCAUGCAGUCAUUCAAGACUGAUGAAUUGUGUAGUUAGCAAAAUUACAAGUGCAUAUGUGGGCUCCCUUCUUUUCUGUGGCCCUGUUUCCCUAACUAACCACUAACCAACGCCCGCCGGUGGUCACUCACCCGCUGUGAAACCAGGAGGAGGG